AGAGUUUGAUCCUGGCUCAGGAUGAACGCUAGCUACAGGCUUAACACAUGCAAGUCGAGGGGCAGCAUGGUCUUAGCUUGCUAAGGCCGAUGGCGACCGGCGCACGGGUGAGUAACACGUAUCCAACCUGCCGUCUACUCUUGGACAGCCUUCUGAAAGGAAGAUUAAUACAAGAUGGCAUCAUGAGUCCGCAUGUUCACAUGAUUAAAGGUAUUCCGGUAGACGAUGGGGAUGCGUUCCAUUAGAUAGUAGGCGGGGUAACGGCCCACCUAGUCUUCGAUGGAUAGGGGUUCUGAGAGGAAGGUCCCCCACAUUGGAACUGAGACACGGUCCAAACUCCUACGGGAGGCAGCAGUGAGGAAUAUUGGUCAAUGGGCGAGAGCCUGAACCAGCCAAGUAGCGUGAAGGAUGACUGCCCUAUGGGUUGUAAACUUCUUUUAUAAAGGAAUAAAGUCGGGUAUGGAUACCCGUUUGCAUGUACUUUAUGAAUAAGGAUCGGCUAACUCCGUGCCAGCAGCCGCGGUAAUACGGAGGAUCCGAGCGUUAUCCGGAUUUAUUGGGUUUAAAGGGAGCGUAGAUGGAUGUUUAAGUCAGUUGUGAAAGUUUGCGGCUCAACCGUAAAAUUGCAGUUGAUACUGGAUAUCUUGAGUGCAGUUGAGGCAGGCGGAAUUCGUGGUGUAGCGGUGAAAUGCUUAGAUAUCACGAAGAACUCCGAUUGCGAAGGCAGCCUGCUAAGCUGCAACUGACAUUGAGGCUCGAAAGUGUGGGUAUCAAACAGGAUUAGAUACCCUGGUAGUCCACACGGUAAACGAUGAAUACUCGCUGUUUGCGAUAUACUGCAAGCGGCCAAGCGAAAGCGUUAAGUAUUCCGCCUGGGGAGUACGCCGGCAACGGUGAAACUCAAAGGAAUUGACGGGGGCCCGCACAAGCGGAGGAACAUGUGGUUUAAUUCGAUGAUACGCGAGGAACCUUACCCGGGCUUAAAUUGCAGAUGAAUUACGGUGAAAGCCGUAAGCCGCAAGGCAUCUGUGAAGGUGCUGCAUGGUUGUCGUCAGCUCGUGCCGUGAGGUGUCGGCUUAAGUGCCAUAACGAGCGCAACCCUUGUUGUCAGUUACUAACAGGUUCUGCUGGGGACUCUGACAAGACUGCCAUCGUAAGAUGUGAGGAAGGUGGGGAUGACGUCAAAUCAGCACGGCCCUUACGUCCGGGGCUACACACGUGUUACAAUGGGGGGUACAGAGGGCCGCUACCACGCGAGUGGAUGCCAAUCCCAAAAACCUCUCUCAGUUCGGACUGGAGUCUGCAACCCGACUCCACGAAGCUGGAUUCGCUAGUAAUCGCGCAUCAGCCACGGCGCGGUGAAUACGUUCCCGGGCCUUGUACACACCGCCCGUCAAGCCAUGGGAGCCGGGGGUACCUGAAGUGCGUAACCGCGAGGAGCGCCCUAGGGUAAAACUGGUGACUGGGGCUAAGUCGUAACAAGGUAGCCG
rnacentral:rRNA from 1 species